UUGUUGUUUGAGGGUUUUUUGUUUUAUUUGUGCUCAUUUGGUUCGUCUUUCUAUUACUAUGCCUAGUUUUUGUUACUAUUUUGUGUUGCUUUUGCUUUUCAAAUGUAUAGGAAAUCCUCUUUGUGGAUUUGGCAAACUAGAAGAUCAUCCUGACUCAGGCCAGCCUCGGGAUAAGAGAGAAACUGUGUCAGUAGCAACCAAACUGCCAGAAGGAGCAGCUCAAAUGUUUCCCAACAUCCAGUCAACACCUGGCACAUGUCUAGUGGCUGGAAGAGCUCGUGUGCCCACUGGAACAGAUGUGGAAGAUGGAUAAGGUCACUACUUUUCUCAUUAAAGGAGCAUUCUGAAUGAGCUGCAAGCCAAAAACUGAUCUUCCUGAAGUGAAAGUCAAUCCAAUGAGAGGUGAUUUUGAGCUUAUUAAAGACCAUUGUCUCGCUGUUAGGACUUACAAACUCAACUCAUUGUUUAAGUCUAUAGCCACAGUCUCUGAAUCGUAAAAGCACAACCUCCUCCACCCCACCCCUUGGGAGAAAUGGAUGUUACCUAGAUCAACCCUGUGCUCCAUAUGCUUUUCAAAACACAGCAUCAAGCUAUGGAAAAUUAAGACUCACCCAGAAGAUGCAAAGUCCAGCAAGUUCUCAGGACCCAUGCUACUGGAUGAGGGCUCCAAGGAAGGUCUGACAAAGGCUGAGUGGAACCUCGGAAAAGUUUCAUUUCCACUUAUAGGGUCCUCUCAGUGCUCUGUUCUCAGUACCUGUCUCUACUUCCAAGGUAUUGAUACCACACAGCCAACUGCCUCGGAAUACAUAAGGACUGGAAUGCGAUGAGAAGCAGGAAAUGAAGUGGGAGGAAGAAGAAAAGUUAGUGGAAGGACAAGAAUGCUGUACAAUCUUGUUUUGACCCCUGAAGAAUGACCAAGAUUUACAGUGACCAACAGGUGUAGGUCACCUCUCUUCAGGGGCUCUCGGCUGUGAGUCUCAAGACAAAGCAAAGGUAGGAUUAAAGGAGCUUAGACUUACUCAACUCUUUGAUCCAAUCAGGAAAGCCUAGGCAAAGAGCUGAGAAAAGGACAUUCAGCUGAUCAAAUGCAAGAUUUAUUUUUUCAUGUGCACAAAGGUAUCAGACAAAAUCAAUCUAUUUAUGACCUAUGGAUAAUAAAAA